UGGUCGCCGGAACUUUGGUUG
rnacentral:siRNA from 1 species